rnacentral:rRNA from 1 species
GAUCCUGGCUCAGGAUGAACGCUAGCUACAGGCUUAACACAUGCAAGUCGAGGGGAAACGAUAUUGGAAGCUUGCUUCCGAUAGGCGUCGACCGGCGCACGGGUGAGUAACGCGUAUCCAACCUGCCCAUCACUUGGGAGUAACCUUGCGAAAGUAAGACUAAUGCCCAAUGACAUUUAUAGAAGGCAUCCGAAAUGAAUUAAAGAUUUAUCGGUGAUGGAUGGGGAUGCGUCUGAUUAGCUUGUUGGCGGGGUAACGGCCCACCAAGCCCACGAUCAGUAGGGGUUCUGAGAGGAAGGUCCCCCACAUUGGAACUGAGACACGGUCCAAACUCCUACGGGAGGCAGCAGUGAGGAAUAUUGGUCAAUGGACGGAAGUCUGAGCCAGCCAAGUAGCGUGCAGGAUGACGGCCCUAUGGGUUGUAAACUGCUUUUAUGUGGGAAUAAAGUGAGGGACGUGUCCCUUUUUGUAGGUACCACAUGAAUAAGGACCGGCUAAUUCCGUG